GACGAACCGAGCGAACGUUGUUCGGAAUCACUGGGCAUAAAGGGCGCGUAGGCGGGGAUGUAAGUCCGUGGUGAAAUACCUUGGCUCAACCAAGGAACUGCCUCGGAUACUGUGUCUCUCGAGGAAGAUAGGGGCUUGCGGAACGGCUGGUGGAGCGGUGAAAUGCGUUGAUAUCAGUCGGAACUCCGGUGGCGAAGGCGGCAAGCUGGAUCUUUUCUGACGCUGAGGCGCGAAAGCCAGGGGAGCAAACGGG
rnacentral:rRNA from 1 species